AUCCUGCUGGGAACACUCAUGAGUCAAGCAGUGUGCUUGAAAAGAAAAACCCCAAAGCUUAGUGAGCCAGAAACCUCGGACAGCAGCCUGUACAAGAGCCAGGACGCCUGUCUGUGUGCAUGACUCAAGCCAUGAGCCGAGAACAUAAUGUGAGCACAGAGGAAAGACACAUAUGUGGUACUGGUUGAACCGAUGAAAAGCUGUUCACGUCUUGGAGUUACUGGUUUCAUAACCUUCUUUUCAAGCAAUGGUUUCUUGAGGAAGUGACUAGCAGUCAUGAAAUGCAUCAAGCCAUGCUCCCCCCUGCCUGCCAACAUCCAAGUGUUCAUGUUAUGAUUUUAACUUUAUACUUUGAAUAAAAUUGGUUUUAAA